UACAGAGGUCUCGAGCGUUGUCCGGAAUUAUUGGGCGUAAAGAGCUCGUAGGCGGUCUGUCGCGUCUGCUGUGAAAACUCGGGGCUUAACCCCGGGCCUGCAGUGGGUACGGGCAGACUAGAGUGCGGUAGGGGAGACUGGAAUUCCUGGUGUAGCGGUGAAAUGCGCAGAUAUCAGGAGGAACACCGAUGGCGAAGGCAGGUCACUGGGCCGCAACUGACGCUGAGGAGCGAAAGCAUGGGGGAGCGAACAGG
rnacentral:rRNA from 1 species